GAUGAACGCUAGCGGCAGGCUUAACACAUGCAAGUCGAGGGGUAGAGGAAGCUUGCUUCCUUGAGACCGGCGCACGGGUGCGUAACGCGUAUGCAAUCUACCUUAUACAGGGGGAUAGCCCAGAGAAAUUUGGAUUAAUACCCCAUAGUAUAAUUGAAUGGCAUCAUUUAAUUAUUAAAAGUUCCAACGGUAUAAGAUGAGCAUGCGUCCCAUUAGCUAGUUGGUGUGGUAACGGCACACCAAGGCGACGAUGGGUAGGGGUCCUGAGAGGGAGAUCCCCCACACUGGUACUGAGACACGGACCAGACUCCUACGGGAGGCAGCAGUGAGGAAUAUUGGUCAAUGGGCGCAAGCCUGAACCAGCCAUGCCGCGUGCAGGAUGACGGUCCUAUGGAUUGUAAACUGCUUUGUACAGGAAGAAACACUCCCUCGUGAGGGAGCUUGACGGUACUGUAAGAAUAAGGAUCGGCUAACUCCGGUGCCCGAGCC
rnacentral:rRNA from 1 species